rnacentral:rRNA from 1 species
AUUCCAGACUCCUACGGGAGGCAGCAGUGGGGAAUAUUGCGCAAUGGGGGAAACCCUGACGCAGCAACGCCGCGUGAGUGAAGAAGUAUCUCGGUAUGUAAAGCUCUAUCAGCGGGGAAGAAGGAAGACGGUACCCGACUAAGAAGCCCCGGCUAACUACGUGCCAGCAGCCGCGGUAAUACGUAGGGGGCGAGCGUUAUCCGGAUUUACUGGGUGUAAAGGGAGCGUAGACGGCGGCGCAAGUCUGAAGUGAAAGCCCGUGGCUCAACCGCGGAACCGCUUUGGAAACUGCGAGGCUGGAGUGCUGGAGAGGCAAGUGGAAUUCCUAGUGUAGCGGUGAAAUGCGUAGAUAUUAGGAGGAACACCAGUGGCGAAGGCGGCUUACUGGACUGUAACUGACGUUGAGGCUCGAAAGCGUGGGGAGCAAACAGGAUUAGAUACCCCUGUA